CCGGCAGGUACUGAGGAGGACAUUAUCGAGUUUUUGAAAGGAGCUGUAGCUGGCCUUUAGCGAGGCAUAUUUGUGCACGCUCCGUUUCAAUCCACUCUACACCUGUGCACUUUCUGUAGGUCUUGGAGCGGGAAGCGGGGCCCUUUUUUGGGUCUCUGCCUAACGUUUUGGGCCUGCGUUUGUUUUACAAAACCUUACAAGUAUCAGAGCGUGUUGUUGCGAUGUAACGCAUCCAAAUACAACUUUCAGCAACGGAUCUCUUGGCUCUCGCAUCGAUGAAGAACGCAGCGAAAUGCGAUAAGUAAUGUGAAUUGCAGAAUUCAGUGAAUCAUCGAAUCUUUGAACGCACCUUGCGCUCCUUGGUAUUCCGAGGAGCAUGCCUGUUUGAGUGUCAUGAAAUUCUCAACUUACAAGCCUUUGCGGGCCAUGUAAGAUUGGAUUUGGAGGCUUUGUCGGCGGUUUCAUGCAGUCGGCUCCUCUUAAAAGCAUUAGCUCGGUUCCUUGCGGAUUCGGCUCUCAGUGUGAUAAUUGUCUACGCUGUGGCCGUUGAAGCGUUUUACAGCAGAGCUUCUAAAUCGUCUGUCUCCCUUUGCUGGGACGACGACAUCUUUUUUGACCUCUGACCUCAAAUCAGGUAGGACUACCCGCUGAACUUAAGCUUAA
rnacentral:rRNA from 1 species